rnacentral:lncRNA from 1 species
CGUACAUGACGCUUGUCUGGAAACGUGAUUACAAAGGAAAUAGAAUAACACAUGCAGUAAAACCUAACUAAGUUCGCUAGCAUAACCACCUAUGUCGAGAAAAACCUAUGCGAGCCGCAAUUCGCUUAGCAAUAGACGAAAAAGAUGAAAAAGGUUUUAAAGAUUUCAGACUGGACCUUAUGAAAGGCUGUCUGUGUACUCCUUGCGAGGAUCAAGCCAAACGUAGUUCAAUUUCCAGAGUUUGAACAUGAGAUUGAACUGCCUUUGCGAGUUCGUCUAGUAAUCAGGUGCAAGACAUAGAAACCGAACUUGUCAAGAAUAAAGCCUAAGGUUUCUACGUGAAGAGAGUUCUAAGAGCUAAAAAAUCUUUUUGUUCUCCUUUCCUUGGCUCUCCUUAUAUAUGCCUCCAAGGUCGGCCAUCUUUCAUGAUUCAAAUUUUAUCUCUUUGUGGAAGUUUUCCAUAUCUUCUCAAGAUUCAUGCUUAAUUAUCUUGAAAACUUUACAUUUAUCCUCUUUUCCAUUUAUCCUUAUCCAAGUCGAGUUAAACCGUCAUUAAAAUCGGGCAUGUUCUCAUAUUAAACCAUAAGCGGGCUUUUUGUCGUCUUUUUGGCCGAUGUCCAUUUUCUAUGUCGUGGGUCUUAAGAACUGAACCAAAUCAA